UUUAAACUUUACUCGUUCCCCUAAUCUCUCAAUUUUAUUUUCCCAUAACAAUUUUGUAGACACGGCUGUAAUUUUCGCCGGAAUCCGAAUUAAGCUAAUAAUCAGUACUCACCCUCCCAGCCUCCCUCAUUUCGCCACCCAUGGCUGCAGCGAGAGCUGAGCCGCCGCUAAAUGCAACAACAAAAACUUCAGCCUAGUUUCUGCCGCUGAUUUGCCGCCGUCGACGUGACCACCCGACAGUGUUUCUGCCACUUCUGCCCAGUAUUUGCCUAGAUUUGGUAGCAAGGAAGAAGAAACAACACCUCCCACUUCAAAGUUCAAACCUCUAACUACUAUAGGGCUAAUCAUGUUGGUUCUCAACCAAGAUCUUAAGGUUCCAAGUUUGAGGUUCCCAUCAAUAGGUUUUGGCUGGACAAAUGGAGGUGUAUCAGUGUCAAUAGAAGAAUUUGGAUUUCCCCAUGAUAGAAAACAUGAUUGUUAAUGAAUUUGGAGCUGAAGGUCCGUUUGAGGUUGCUUCUUUAUAAACAGUUGAAGACAAUGUCACCAUGGCAGCAAUGACUGAUUUCCAUGAAAGCUGGACAAUACCAUGGAUCAACUAUUUCCUCAGCUAUCAGAUAUGCAAAUCCAUGCCACUGUUGCUAAUCCAGGAGUCCUUAUAACUGUACAAUAAUGCUCCAAGCUCAGUGGACUCAUUUAGCUUAUUAGCUUACAUCUCCAUAAUCAUCUUGUAUGAAGAAGCUUGUUGAUUCUUACAAACACCGGACCCGCCCAAUAUCCGGCGGCAUAACCCAUCAAUACACCAAGUGAAGGAUGUAUCAACGUCGCACCAAAGCCUCCCCCGAUAGCAGCAACCACCAACGACGUGGCGCAGUUGAGUGUCACACCAAGAAGCACCGAAGUAAACGGUUGACGGCAUCCCUCGUUGUGCCUUACGGUUGGAAGAUUCCGGUGCGUCUUUUAGAAGCUUCCGUGCCGUUCGCCGGGAGAAACAACAGACAACUAGAUUUUCCAGUAUACUUCUAAUAGUAAUGAUACUAAUCUCGUAAACAAUAUAGUUUAUCCCUUGUUUUAACAAUAAUAAUCUCAAGAUUGUAUGUGAUAAUGACGACCAAUGAAAAGCCGAGAAAAUUGAUUUCGGCUUAAUGUCGUAAAAUUUCUCAGUUUGUGUUAGGGAAUCUGGGUCCAAAACAUGAUUAGUAAUGUCAUUAUCCUUCUUCUCAUAAUGAUCAUUAUCAGUGGAAGAACCAAAAGGAUUCAAAGAUUUUGUUGAAUUGAAGUUGGGAUUUUUCCUUGACUGAUUUAAAUUUACGGAAAUUUCUGA